CCAAGGAAGUCUCACCUGUGGAAUAAUUAUCAGGCAGAUCUGUAGCAGCCAGAGAGAGUGACGGCCCAGACUGACUGAGACCUGAGCCCGGUGUGGGGGGGUCUGUGCCUGUGGGGAACAGCUUGGAGUUCUGCUGGUUUGUCCCCAAACUCUCUGAAGCUAUUUCACUGAUCAACUCCAGAUGUGGGGAGCAGACGGAUUCCACUCAAACCAUGCUGCACAAACAGACACAACAGAAAAACUGCUGAAAUCUAUCAAUGUAGUUGCCUUGGCGAUAUUUGCGGAAGGGCAAACUUCUAGGACAGAUGUUCCCCAAAGCUUCUUUUUGGACUGUGAAUAAAAAACAACUCUCACUACUGACACACCAGAAAAUGCAAGAUUUUGCUUCAAUAGAUUCUUGUACAGUAAGAUUAUAUCAGAUAUACAGCUGCCAUAUCUCCAGACUCUUUGCAUCUCAAGAUAAGUCUUGCCGCUCUGUCACAAGUCUGCAUUUUGGAGAGAGGCCAAUCUCCCCGAGGCAACUUCCUACUAGCACUCAGCUCUAUGAUCCUUAGCAGGUCACAGUUUAAUGAAAACAGAACACUUCCAUUCUUCUCCCCUAAGGGAAAGGCUACACAUCGGGUUGGAAUAGUAUGCAGCACUUAAUGAAGAUUGCUUCAGUAAAGAGAAAAUAUUUCUAAUCUCUGCAUGGUCGAUGCACCUGGAGCAUCAGCUUACCGCUUUAUACAACAAAAUGUUUUCCCCAUUAGGGAGGAGACAAAAACUAUUUUAUGUGGUGAUACUCAUUGCUAUAAUCAUCUAUUAGGUACUGACCUCUACGGCAAUAAAAGACACGGUUGAUACCCAAUAUGUGUUUUCUUGAAAAGAUUUACUCAUGCUCCUAGACUGCAAAUGUAAGGUUCUUAAAUCUCCUUUAUUUGGAUACUCUUCAUCUAUUAAAAAUAAAUACAUCAGACCUAGCUCAA